rnacentral:rRNA from 1 species
CGGGACGGGUGAGUAACGCGUGGGUAACCUGCCUUGUACUGGGGGACAACAGUUAGAAAUGACUGCUAAUACCGCAUAAGCGCACAGUAUCGCAUGAUACAGUGUGAAAAACUCCGGUGGUACAAGAUGGACCCGCGUCUGAUUAGCUAGUUGGUAAGGUAACGGCUUGCCAAGGCGACGAUCAGUAGCCGACCUGAGAGGGUGACCGGCCACAUUGGGACUGAGACACGGCCCAA